AUGAACGCUAGCGGGAGGCCUAACACAUGCAAGCCGAGCGGUAUUGUUUCUUCGGAAAUGAGAGAGCGGCGUACGGGUGCGGAACACGUGUGCAACCUGCCUUUAUCUGGGGGAUAGCCUUUCGAAAGGAAGAUUAAUACUCCAUAAUAUAUUGAACGGCAUCGUUUAAUAUUGAAAGCUCCGGCGGAUAGAGAUGGGCACGCGCAAGAUUAGCUAGUUGGUGAGGUAACGGCUCACCAAGGCGAUGAUCUUUAGGGG
rnacentral:rRNA from 1 species